rnacentral:rRNA from 1 species
CAGUACCGCGGUAAUACGAAGGGGGCUAGCGUUGUUCGGAAUCACUGGGCGUAAAGGGUGCGUAGGCGGAUUUUUAAGUCAGGGGUGAAAUCCCGAGGCUCAACCUCGGAACUGCCUUUGAUACUGGGGAUCUUGAGUCCGGAAGAGGUGAGUGGAACUGCGAGUGUAGAGGUGAAAUUCGUAGAUAUUCGCAAGAACACCGGUGGCGAAGGCGGCUCACUGGUCCGGAACUGACGCUGAGGCACGACAGCGUGGGGAGCAAACAGGAUUAGAUACCCGUGUAGUCCCUGUCUCUUAUACA